rnacentral:sRNA from 1 species
AACUACUUUAGUCAACUUUAGAUUAGACCUCAGAUCAGGCAGGAUUACCCGCUGAACUUAAGCAUAUCAAUAAGCGGAGGAAAAGAAACUAACAAGGAUUCCCCUAGUAACGGCGAGUGAAGCGGGAAGAGCUCAAAUUUGUAAUCUGGCACUUUCAGUGUCCGAGUUGUAAUCUCGAGAAGUAUUUUCCGCGCCGGACCGCAUACAAGUCUGUUGGAAUACAGCGUCAUAGUGGUGAGAACCCCGUAACUGAUGCGGAUGCCCGGUGCUUUGUGAUAUACUUUCGAAGAGUCGAGUUGUUUGGGAAUGCAGCUCAAAUUGGGUGGUAAAUUCCAUCUAAAGCUAAAUAUUGGAGCAAGACCGAUAGCGAACAAGUACCGUGAGGGAAAGAUGAAAAGCACUUUGGAAAGAGAGUUAACAGUACGUGAAAUUGUUGGAAGGGAAACGCUUGAAGUCAGACUUGCUAUUCGGAGUUCAGCCGCAAGGUGUAUUCUUCGAUUCGCAGGCCAGCAUCAGUUUUCGGGGGUGGAAAAUCGCGGUUUGAAGGUAGCAACUUCGGUUGUGUUAUAGCUUUCCGCUGGAUUCAACCUUGGGGACUGAGGAACGCAGUACGCUUUUUGCAAGGCUC